GGAAUAUAGCUCAGUUGGUAGUGUGCUUGCCUUGCAUGCACAGGAUCCUGGGUUCAAUCCCCAGUACCA
rnacentral:tRNA from 1 species